UCCACUUUCGUUAAGAAAUUCACAUCUUCUUUCUCGGUCUCAACUCGUCAAAAAAAAAAAAAAAGAUUUUAUUUCUUCCCUAACCCCUUUCUUACAAUUAAAGAUCAAUCGAUGAUUUUAUUCAAAGUGGGUUUUUAUUUUAUUGUAAUUAGGGUUUAGAUUUCUAAUUGGGUGAUGGUGUAAUAGGGGAAAUCUGAGAUAUUUGAAGUGGAUUUUGUAAAUAUAGGGAGAUGAAGCGAAAAAUUGAGAGAGUUUGAUGGAGAAAGAUGGAGAUUGGAUCUUUAAUGAGAUUGUUUGAAAGGAAAUUAGAAGAUGAAUUGGAGAAUUUUGGUCAACACUACUGAAAACUUUUUUUUUAUUUUUCUUUGUUUAAAACUUUAAGUUAAUACAUCAUAGUGUAUGAGUAUGACUGUGUGUGUUGGCGCAGUGACUUCUUAGUGCUAUUGUUUGUCAGUAAGUUCAUAAGUUCGCAUAAUGUAAGCUCAAGCACUCUGUUCUUAACAUAGAUUUACAGUUAAAGGUGAGUUUCAUAGUUUAUUCAUGUUUAAAGAAAUCUGUUUUUCGUUAA